rnacentral:rRNA from 1 species
CAAAACGACUCUCGGCAAUGGAUAUCUCGGCUCUCGCAUCGAUGAAGAACGUAGCGAAAUGCGAUACGUGGUGUGAAUUGCAGAAUCCCGUGAACCAUCGAGUUUUUGAACGCAAGUUGCGCCCGAAGCCUUCUGGUUGAGGGCACGUCUGCCUGGG